AUGGAGGGGGUAGGGAGAGAGCACGAUAGCUCCGUGGCGCUGCCCGUGGAGGAUUUCGUCGCCGCCAAGGAUACAACCAUACUAAGCACAAAGCCUACAAGGAGAUACCCCCUCGCGUCAUGGGUUGCCAUAUUGGCCCUGGCCACCCUUGUGGGUGUAUACAUAUUCUCCUUAUCUCUCAAGCAAAAUGGGAUGCUGUUCGGGCUCAGGCAGACCAACAUGAUAGAGAAAGAAAGGGAGCAGCCUUGCCACCACCCCGGAGUUCCAGAGACCGAGACCCCUUACGUGCACUUCCCCACACCCAAUACUUAUAGUAGGAAAGAAUGUGCGUGCACACCAGUUAGAUUCUUUGCUAUCUUGUCGAUGCAGAGGUCGGGGAGUGGAUGGUUUGAAACCUUGUUGAAUAGCCACGAGAAUAUUAGCUCCAAUGGGGAGAUUUUCUCUGUCAAAGACAGGCGUAGCAAUGUCACGGCCAUCACACAAACACUGGAUAAAUUGUACAAUCUGGACUGGGUCAGCAGUGCCGCUAAAAAUGAGUGCACGGCUGCUGUGGGGUUGAAAUGGAUGCUCAAUCAGGGUCUGAUGAAACAUCAUCAAGAGAUAGCUGAGUAUUUCAACCGAAGGGGUGUGUCUUUAAUUUUCCUUUUAAGAAGAAACCUUCUGCAGCGACAUGUCUCUAUAUUGGCAAAUGAUUAUGAUAGAAAUACGAAGCAACUAAAUGGAACUCACAAAGCUCAUGUGCAUCACAGAGGCCAGGCUGAUGUUCUUGCUCAGUAUAAGCCAACAAUAGACACAAAAUCGUUGAUUGCUGAACUGAAGAGGUCUGAUAAGUUGGCAGCUGAUGGUUUAGUGGGUUUCAAGAAGAUCCGGAGUAUUGUUCUGUACUAUGAGGAUGUGGUCAGCAAUCACACUAAGCUCACAGAUGUGCUGGAUUUUCUGAAAUUGCCAAAUAUGAAGCUAUCCAGUCGGCAUGUGAAAAUCCAUACUAAACGGUUGCGUGAUCAUAUUGAUAAUUGGACUGAUGUUUCUAAUACUUUGAAUGGGACUCAAUACCAGAGCUUCUUGAAUGGUUGA
rnacentral:rRNA from 1 species